CACUAGGAAGCUAAAUGAGGAUCAGCGUUAGCCUUUUAAGCUAAAGAUUCGGUGGCUCCUAACCACCCCAAGUGA
rnacentral:tRNA from 1 species